AUUGAACGCUGGCGGCAUGCCUUACACAUGCAAGUCGAACGGCAGCACGGGUGCUUGCACCUGGUGGCGAGUGGCGAACGGGUGAGUAAUACAUCGGAACAUGUCCUGUAGUGGGGGAUAGCCCGGCGAAAGCCGGAUUAAUACCGCAUACGAUCUACGGAUGAAAGCGGGGGACCUUCGGGCCUCGCGCUAUAGGGUUGGCCGAUGGCUGAUUAGCUAGUUGGUGGGGUAAAGGCCAACCAAGGCGACGAUCAGUAGCUGGUCUGAGAGGACGACCAGGCACACUGGGACGUGAGAAAGGGCCAAACUCCUAAGGGGAGCAAGAGGGGGGAAAUUUGGGAAAAGGGGGGAAAGCCUGUCCAAGAAAGGCGGGGUGGGGAAAGAGGCCUUUCGGGUUGUAAAGAACUUUGGCCGGGAAAAAAAUCCUGGGCCUAAAUCCGGCCGGGGGUGACGGUACCGGAAGAAUAAGCACCGGCUAACUACGUG
rnacentral:rRNA from 1 species